rnacentral:rRNA from 1 species
CCUACGGGUGGCAGCAGUGAGGAAUAUUGGACAAUGGGCGGAAGCCUGAACCAGCCAAGUCGCGUGAGGGAAUAAGGCCCUACGGGUCGUAAACACCUUUUGCCGGGGAGCAAGGGCGGGGACGAGUAACGGCCCGGAGAGUACCUGGAGAAAGAGCAUGGGCAACCUCGGUGCCAGCAGGCGCGGUAAGACGGAGGAUGAGAGCUUUAUCCGGAGUUAUUGGGUUUAAGGGGUGCGUAGGCGGGCUUUUAAGUCAGCGGUAAAAAUUCGGGGCGCAACCCCGCCCGGCCGUUGAAACUGGGAGGCUUGAGUGGGCGAGAGGGAGGUGGAAUGCGUGGUGUAGCGGUGAAAUGCGUAGAGAUCACGCAGAACCCCGAUUGCGAAGGCAGCCUUCCGGCGCCCUACUGACGCUGAGGUGCGAAAGUGCGGGGAGCGAACAGGAUUAGAUACCCCAGUAGUC